UAGGGAAUCUUCCACAAUGGGCGCAAGCCUGAUGGAGCAACACCGCGUGAGUGAAGAAGGGUUUCGGCUCGUAAAGCUCUGUUGUUAAAGAAGAACACGUAUGAGAGUAACUGUUCAUACGUUGACGGUAUUUAACCAGAAAGUCACGGCUAACUACGAGCCAG
rnacentral:rRNA from 1 species